GAUGAACGCUAGCGGCAGGCCUAACACAUGCAAGUCGAGGGGUAACUAGAGUGAUAGCAAUAUUACUUUGGCUAGACCGGCGCACGGGUGCGUAACACGUAUGCAACCUACCUUAUACUGGGGAAUAACUUCGAGAAAUCGGCGCUAAUACCCCAUAACAUUGCGAAGAGGCAUCUCUUUGCAAUUAAAGCUCCGGCGGUAUAAGGUGGGCAUGCGUCCAAUUAGCUAGUUGGUGAGGUAACGGCUCACCAAGGCUACGAUUGGUAGGGGUUCUGAGAGGGUGAUCCCCCACACUGGUACUGAGACACGGACCAGACUCCUACGGGAGGCAGCAGUGAGGAAUAUUGCGCAAUGGACGAAAGUCUGACGCAGCCAUGCCGCGUGCAGGAUGACGGCCCUAUGGGUUGUAAACUGCUUUUGUACGGGAAUAAACCCUUCUACGUGUAGGAGGCUGAAGGUACCGUAAGAAUAAGCACCGGCUAACUCCGUGCCAGCCGCCGCCGUAACAC
rnacentral:rRNA from 1 species